ACCUCUCUUAUUCGUAAAAUUUUUCUCGGGCCGUGCGGUUGGAGGCGGAUGAUUGGAAAAGCUGUCCAGGUCGACACGGAAAUAGUGGGCGCAUUGUUGAUACUCUUCAGGCGCUCGUCCAGAAAUCGGUUCGGAAGUCGGCUUGGCGAGUCGUAGUCGAAUAUCCACGCGGUUCGAAAGUGAAAUCCAACGUCAACGGUAAACCAAACGCACAGCGGCGACGACGCGAAAGAAAUUUUUUGAAUGGAUAGCAGCUGGAACGUGGCUCCACACUCCACGCCAAAUCAAAUUCAAUUGAAAGUUUUAUUCUUAAAUCUUAGUCGCAAUAAUUAGUAUCUCCGGCAGAUACUAAAAGUGUUUAACAGUUCAACAGCAAAGUGCAAUUUUAGUUGAGAAUCAAGUGGAGAAUAUCAAUCAAGUCGAGAAGAGUUUCGAGAUCCUAAAGCUUUGUAAGAUUGAGCUUGAUUGAGAAACUCUGAGGAGAGUGUACUAGUUGUGGUUUUAGGUAAGCAUUUAAAAACUGCAAGUAAGCCUUGAUGGAAUGUCUGGCAAGUUUAAUAUUUUCCUUAAGAAGACCCUCUGUGUUUAUUCUUCAAAGAAAUACUCCCUAGUGACCCUCAAAAGAGCAGCUCGAAUGUAACCAAAUUACUCGUGCAUAAAAAAAAGAAUUGUGGCCACUCAUAAACCCCACCGUAGAACCAACUGUUUCCAGUUUUUAAUUAAAAAACCAGACUCGAACCAACAGAGCCAACGGAUCUCCCCAGAAGUUUUUCCAGCUCUCUUGUCUUGGGUAUUAAUUAACAACUUCCUCCCGGGCCGGGUCUCUACCAUCUCUGGCUGGUGUUUUGGUUUUUAUUACCCGCCGAAUGGCAAUAAUAAUUAUAAUCAUCAUUUUUUUGUGGGUUCUUUUUCGGUUUGUUUAGUAUUCUGUGGGCACAUUUGACCCAAAUCACAGCCCAGUCCGACAGCACUGACCCAUUUGGCCAAAAAAAA